rnacentral:rRNA from 1 species
AUUGAACGCUGGCGGAAUGCUUUACACAUGCAAGUCGAACGGCAGCACGGACUUCGGUCUGGUGGCGAGUGGCGAACGGGUGAGUAAUGUAUCGGAACGUGCCCAGUCGUGGGGGAUAACGUAGUGAAAAUUACGCUAAUACCGCAUACGAUCUAUGGAUGAAAGCGGGGGAUCGCAAGACCUCGCGCGAUUGGAGCGGCCGAUAUCAGAUUAGGUAGUUGGUGGGGUAAAGGCCCACCAAGCCAACGAUCUGUAGCUGGUCUGAGAGGACGACCAGCCACACUGGAACUGAGACACGGUCCAGACUCCUACGGGAGGCAGCAGUGGGGAAUUUUGGACAAUGGGCGAAAGCCUGAUCCAGCCAUUCCGCGUGCAGGAUAAGGCCCUCGGGUUGUAAACUGCUUUUGUACAGAACGAAAAGGUUUCUACUAAUACUAGGAGCUCACGACGGUACUGUAAGAAUAAGCACCGGCUAACUACGUGCCAGCCGCCGCGGUAA